UAUAUCACUGAAAUAUUCAGAAUUAGAAGGAAAUGAAAUAAACUGAGAUGCUUCAUUGAUGAAAAAGGCAAAUGCCUCAAUCUAAUAUAUCAAAGGUUUACAUCAGAGAUUUCACUUUUGUAGAAAAUUAAAAGGAACUGAAACACGAGUAAAACAGUCUAUUAUAAUGUACUAUCAACAUUAGGCUCUAAUAUAUAUAUAAUCCUU
rnacentral:lncRNA from 1 species